UUCGAUGCAACGCGAAAACCUUACCUACCCUUGACAUGUCCUGAAGCCUGGGGAGAUCCGGGUGUGCCCGAAAGGGAACGGGAACACAGGUGCUGCAUGGCUGUCGUCAGCUCGUGUCGUGAGAUGUUGGGUUAAGUCCCGCAACGAGCGCAACCCUUUGUCAUUAGUUGCUACAUUUGGUUGGGCACUCUAAUGAGACUGCCGGUGACAAACCGGAGGAAGGUGGGGAUGACGUCAAGUCCUCAUGGCCCUUAUGGGUAGGGCUUCACACGUAAUACAAUGGCGCGUACAGAGGGUUGCCAAGCCGCGAGGUGGAGCCAAUCCCAGAAAGCGCGUCGUAGUCCGGAUUGCAGUCUGCAACUCGACUGCAUGAAGUCGGAAUCGCUAGUAAUCGCGGAUCAGCAUGUCGCGGUGAAUACGUUCCCGGGUCUU
rnacentral:rRNA from 1 species